GGUACUCCACUGGCCAAAAAGUUGAGGGGCUCAGCUCAGCUCAUCCUGCUCUGCGGCUCUGCCUCAUUUCUGCGCCCCCAUUUUUAAUUCCUGCACACAGACGCGCAGAGUAUGGCUGCCUCGGCCUCUCGUGUGGCCGUUACUGCCCCUCAAAUCUGGUGCUCGCCCACUGUAAGAGACGAUUCAUGCGGCAGAAGUCGCCCAAAUCUCAUCUCGCCUCGUCCUUCGUCUGGCGGUCGCGUUUCACCAGUAGGAUUUGAUGCUCUGACGCUUCACUCCGGUUUUUCUCAUCCAUGGUGGUCAUGUAAAGUGGGAAGUGCUGGCUUAGGAUCUCACAGGAGAAAGAGCAAUACAUGGAAACAAUAUAGUCCUGUGCUGCGUGAACGAGGAAUCGUGUUGUCAAGUCAAUAUCAGUGCACAUCUUGCUCUCGUAAUCACUGCAAAAGGAUUUCUGGAUUCAAAAGAUUUACGUCAAGAAUCUUUCUUGAUAAAUCUACUUUUCAGAUAACCAACAAUGUCAUUGUGAAGCAGCUUCAUGUUCCACUUGCAACUGUGGGCCCAGAUGAGCCACAUGCAGCGAGCACAACCUGGCCAGAUGGUAUUUUAGAGAAACAAGGUUCAGGUUUAUUGGAUCUUGAAGUAGAAAGCACAGAGUUGGAGGGGUUUUUAGGUUCCAAACUUCUGUCACAUCCAAAGCUAUAUCGAGGACAACUGAAAAAUGGGCUCCGUUAUCUCAUUUUACCUAAUAAAGUUCCACAAAACAGGUUUGAAGCACACAUGGAAGUUCAUGUGGGAUCCAUUGAUGAGGAGGAUGAUGAGCAAGGAAUUGCACAUAUGAUUGAACACGUAGCAUUUCUUGGAAGUAAGAAGCGUGAGCGGCUUCUUGGUACAGGGGCCCGUUCUAAUGCUUAUACAGAUUUCCACCAUACGGUUUUCCACAUUCAUUCACCCACUAGGACAAAGGACUCUGAUGGAGAUUUGCUUCCAUUUGUAUUGGACGCACUGAAUGAGAUAGCUUUCCACCCAAAAUUCCUAGCUUCUCGAGUAGAAAAAGAAAGGCGGGCUAUACUGUCAGAAUUACAGAUGAUGAACACCAUUGAGUACCGUGUCGAUUGCCAGUUGCUACAGUAUUUGCAUUCUGAAAAUAAGCUGAGUAAAAGGUUUCCAAUUGGAUUAGAAGAGCAAAUUAAGAAGUGGGAUGUAGAUAAAAUCAGGAAGUUUCAUGAGCGUUGGUACUUCCCUGCAAAUGCGACUUUGUACAUUGUGGGGAAUAUUGAUAACAUUUCAAAGACAGUUCAUCAGAUUGAAGCUGUCUUUGGGCAAACUGCGACAGAAAAUGAGACUGUUGCUGCGCCAAGCCCUAAUGCAUUUGGAGCAAUGACCAGCUUUCUUGUUCCUAAGCUCUCACUUGGGCUGGUGGGAAGUUUAUCUCAGGAAAAAUCAUCUAUUUCUGUGGAUCAAUCUAAAAUAAUUAAAAAGGAGAGGCAUGCUAUUCGUCCCCCUGUUGAGCAUAAUUGGUCCAUCCCUGGACACAAUGAGGGUGUCAAAUCUCCGCAUAUAUUUCAACAUGAAUUGCUACAGAAUUUCUCAAUUAACAUGUUCUGCAAGAUUCCUGUGAACCAAGUUCAAACAUACAGUGACUUGCGAAAUGUUCUAAUGAAGAGAAUAUUUCUAUCUGCUUUGCACUUUCGGAUUAAUACAAGAUACAAGAGUUCAGAUCCUCCAUUUACUUCAAUUGAAUUGGAUCAUAGUGAUUCUGGAAGGGAAGGCUGCACCGUCACUACUCUCACAGUGACCGCAGAGCCUAAGAACUGGCAAAGUGCAAUUAAAGUUGCUGUUCAUGAGGUUCGAAGGCUUAAAGAGUUCGGUGUUACCAAGGGUGAAUUAGCUCGCUAUAUGGAUGCGCUACUAAAAGAUAGUGAACAGUUGGCAGCUAUGAUUGAAAAUGUGUCAUCUGUGGAUAAUUUGGAUUUUAUUAUGGAAAGCGAUGCCCUAGGCCAUAUGGUGAUGGAUCAAAGACAGGGACAUGAGAGUUUAGUUGCUGUCGCUGGAACAGUGACUCUUGAAGAAGUCAAUUCUACGGGAGCAAAAGUGUUGGAAUUUAUCUCUGAUUUUGGAAAAACUACGGCACCUCUUCCCGCAGCAAUUGUUGCUUGUGUUCCAAAGAAAGUGCAUAUUGAUGGUGCGAGUGAAACAGAGUUCAAAAUAUUGCCAAGUGAGAUUACUGCUGCAAUAAAAUCUGGCUUGGAGGAACCGAUUUUUCCUGAGCCUGAGCUUGAGGUGCCAAAAGAAUUAAUACCUUCAUCUCAGCUGCAAGAAUUGAAGCUGCAGUGCAAGCCUUUCUUUGUUCCUCUAAAUUCAGAAUUAAAUGUCUCCAAAGUUUAUGACCAUGAAACAGGAAUCACUCAGCGCCGUCUUUCAAAUGGAAUUCCUGUUAACUACAAGAUCUCAAGAAGUGAAGCCCGGGGAGGUGUGAUGCGGCUUGUAGUUGGUGGCGGACGAGCUGUUGAAAGUUCUGAGGCUAAGGGAGCUGUUGUUGUUGGUGUUCGAACUCUUAGUGAGGGUGGUCGUGUUGGCAACUUUUCAAGAGAGCAGGUAGAGCUUUUCUGCGUGAAUCACCUGAUAAAUUGCUCUUUGGAGUCCACUGAGGAAUUCAUAUGUAUGGAGUUUCGUUUUACUCUAAGGGAUAAUGGAAUGCGUGCUGCAUUCCAGUUGCUUCAUAUGGUACUUGAGCAUAGUGUUUGGCUAGAUGAUGCAUUUGAUAGAGCAAGACAGUUAUAUUUGUCAUAUUACCGUUCCAUACCUAAAAGCUUGGAGCGUUCAACUGCUCACAAGCUUAUGUUAGCAAUGUUGCAUGGAGAUGAGCGGUUUGUUGAACCCACACCAAAAUCACUGCAAAGCUUAACUCUGCAGUCUGUAAAAAAUGCAGUGAUGAAUCAGUUUGUUGGUGAUAACAUGGAGGUAAGUAUUGUCGGGGACUUCUCAGAAGAGGAUAUCGAGUCUUGCAUUCUUGAUUACCUGGGAACCGUGACACCCGAAAGGGUUCGUAAGACAGAGGAUGGAUCCAGCCCCAUUACUUUUCGACCUACUCCAUCAGAUUUGCAGUUUCAGCAGGUUUUCUUGAAGGACACUGAUGAAAGAGCAUGUGCAUAUAUUUCAGGCCCUGCACCUAAUCGUUGGGGUUUUACUAUUGAAGGAAAAGACCUGUUUCAGUCUAUUAAUAAUCUCUCAACAGUGGAUUAUGAGCAAUCUAUACAAAAGGAAUCACAUAUGGAGAAGAAGGAUGUUGGAAAUGAUAUGCACAGGAAGCUACACCGCCAUCCACUUUUCUUUGGCAUCACAUUGGGGUUGUUGGCCGAGAUAAUAAAUUCUAGGCUUUUUACAACUGUCAGGGAUUCUCUUGGAUUAACGUACGAUGUUUCAUUUGAAUUAAGCCUAUUUGACAGGCUUAAGUUUGGGUGGUACGUGAUUUCAGUGACAUCAACUCCAAGCAAGGUUUAUAAGGCUGUUGAUGCUUGCAAGAAUGUUCUUCGAGGUUUGCAUAGCAACAAGGUUGCACAAAGAGAAUUGGAUAGGGCAAAACGAACAUUGCUAAUGAGACAUGAAGCUGAAACAAAGUCAAAUGCCUAUUGGCUUGGAUUAUUAGCACACUUACAAGCUUCUUCAGUUCCUAGGAAGGACAUAUCAUGCAUCAAAGAUCUUACGUUGCUAUAUGAAGCGGCUACAAUUGACGACAUAUAUCUAGCUUAUGAACAGUUAAAGAUUGAUGAGAAUUCUUUAUAUUCAUGCAUUGGGAUUGCAGGGAUGCAGGCUGGUGAAGAAAUUUCUGCUUCCUUGGAAGAGGAAGAAUCAGGUGAAGGCCUUCCAGGAGUUAUUCCUGUGGGACGGGGAUUAUCCACUAUGACACGGCCAACAACAUGACCACCUUGGAAAACCAUUAUUAUUGUUUUCGCUACUAUUAUUUUUGUGCAGUAAAGAGACAUUGAACACUAUGAGUUCUUCAAUUCCAAGGAACAAAAGCAUUCUUUUCAACUUGUCUGUGUAGAUGAUUGUGAGAUAGAGGAGCUUGCUGCCCAGACACUAAUUUGGCCAUAGAGAUGUUGGGGAGUGAAGCGGAUAGAACAUCACAGCCAGAACUACAGGGUCUAACAGUUUUUGCAUGUGAUUUGGUUUAUCCAAGCUACCAUCUUAGUACUUGCUAGGGCCUCCAGUGUUACUUGCAUCCUAUACGAAUGGGGUCUGAAUAGCAAUAUUCUUUUCUAUUUAUUAUGGUUCAUCGUUCCACCCUUACUACAGUUCGUGACAUUUUAUGUGUGCGUAUGUCAUGUAUUAACUGUGACGGGCACUCAAAUUCCAGUCGUAUUCAACACGUAAGCAAGCAAUUGUGGUUGGCUGCAAGUAGAGGAUUUCUUCUUGCAAAGCUCUAGGCGUAGUGGUAUCCAAAGCUGCAGCAGAAGAAAAAUAAUCAGUCCCUGGUUUUCUGCACUUCUUGGAUUUGUCAUAUAUACCAGAAGGUUGACUUAGCUGUUUGGGGUGUUAACCCAUGCCCAGCGUUUUUUUUAAGAUUGUCGUUAACAAUCUUGGUGGUAAUUCUUUAAAUUGCGAGAUGUGUAGUGAUGCUUGUCCUGUCUGUUUUCGUUAUUUAUUAAAUUCAUUGUAACAAUCAAGAAUAAAAUUGUAUCAUCUAGUAGAAAUGGUCAAAUGACUUAUUUUUGUUA